GAGUAAGACAUAGUUCCUGACCUCAAAGAAUUCCAUGCCCAGUGACAGAAAUGUGUAAAUAAAUAAUUAUGAAACAAUGUGAUAUUACCUUAUUAAAGAGGGACAGACGACUCUGGAGAGUGGGGAGAAAGCAAUUAGAGAAGAGAGAACAUCUGAUCUAAAUCCUGAAAAAAGAGAAAGAAUUUAUAAAUACAAAGAGAGGAAGGGCAUUCCGAGUGAAGAGACAAAGGCCCAAUGAACGGGGGGAGAAGCAUGGAGAGGUGAGCUCAAAGAAAUCUCAUGCUUGUAACGUGGAUGAUGAACAUCUAAGGGAGACAGAGGCGGACAGAUAAAGACAGCGGAAACAGACCAGUGAGGAAAUUAUUGGGGUGAUUUCGAUAAGGAAGAACAGGCUUCAAACCAAGCAAUGGCUGAGGAGACAGGGAAGAGAAUGCCUGUGAACACUGCUAAGUGUUGGACAGAUUUUAUUGUACAACUAGACAACUCAGACAACUUACCAGAUACCCUCUUUUCACUCAAACCCCUGCCUCGGAUCAGAGAAAAGAACGUGGCAGAGGAAGAGAGACAAAGGAUUGAAGAAGCUAAAAGUGUAUCCAAAUGUCCUGAGCUACUCCUGCCUGAGGGGUUCACCAACCCUCUGAUGGCCUCCUGCUUCUGAACAGUAACUACAGCCCCAUACCCUCAACCAUCCUUACUCUGAUGCAGAAAGAAGACGAGGAGAAAACGGAAACUCUGCUCUUCAGAUAACUUGCUGGUGACCCCUGGUAAAUGACAGCCAAGCAAAACUUCAAGGAACUUGUUACUUAGAGCUUGAAUUUCAAGCAAACAUCUUCCUGCAUUUCUAAUGAAAAACGGAUCUUUCCCCCCUGCUUUUGAAGUGCUCUUUGGGAAUUGUUUGAGUGUUCUUUGCAAUCUUUUAUACCCAGCCUAAGGACUCUGACAAACUCUCUCUUUCCCUUCAAAGGCUUGUUAACUAUGUGAUGAAUACACCUGUCACUUCCAAUUCCAACCUGACUUUCUGUUGUGAUGGCUGUAGAAUUUGGUAUCUAUGGCAACUUUUCAGUGGCUCAACAUCGAUUAAAAAAGGAUUGGCUUA